rnacentral:misc_RNA from 1 species
GAAAUGCGAUAAUUAAUGUGAAUUGCAGAAUUCAGUGAAUCAUCGAGUCUUUGAACGCACAUUGCGCCCCCUGGUAUUCCGGGGGGCAUGCCUGUCCUAGCGUCAUUGCUGCCCUCAAGCACGGCUUGUGUGUUGGGCUUCCGUCCCUGGCAACGGGGACGGGCCCAAAAGGCAGUGGCGGCACCAUGUCUGGUCCUCGAGCGUAUGGGGCUUUGUCACCCGCUCCCGUAGGUCCAGCUGGCAGCUAGCCUCGCAACCAAUCUUUUUAACCAGGUUGACCUCGGAUCAGGUAGGGAUACCCGCUGAACUUAAGC